AUUGAACGCUGGCGGCAUGCCUAACACAUGCAAGUCGAACGGUAACAGGUCUUCGGAUGCUGACGAGUGGCGAACGGGUGUGGAAUACAUCGGAACGUGACCAGACGUGGGGGAUAACGAGUCGGAAGCUUUGCUAAUACCGCAUACCAUCUAAGCGUGAAAGCAGGGGACCGCAAGGCCUUGCGGGAUUGGAGCGGCCGAUGGCUGAGUAGGUAGUUGGUGGGAUAAAGGCUUACGGAGCCGACGAUGUGUAGCUGGGCUGAGAGGGCGAGCAGCGACACUGGAACUGAGACAGGGCCCAGACUCCUACGGGAGGCAGCAGUGGGGAAUUUUGGACAAUGGGCGAAAGCCUGAUCCAGCAAUGCCGCGUGCGGGAUGAAGGCCUUCGGGUUGUAAACUGCUUUUGUACGGAACGAAAAGGCUCUGGCUAAUACCUGGGGGUCAUGACGGUACCGUAAGAAUAAGCACCGGCUAACUACGUG
rnacentral:rRNA from 1 species